GGUCAGCAGUUUGUAUCAUUGUCAAGGGAACACCUGGAAAAAGGGGAAUGAAGACCACAUCUCCCUCCCUUUUGAGGAACCAUGAUGCUGGCUCGCGAGAUGGCUGAGAUGGAAAGAGCCAGGCUUGGAAACCAGAGACCUGGCUGAGCAUGCGGACGCUACCCUCUCCCAGCUGCAGGGCCUGAGCCCUUCUCCAGGCUCAGGUUUGCUUACCUGGUGGGCUCACACCUGUCCUGCCUGCUUCAUGAGGAAGUCGAUAAAUACAGUUCUUCAACCCCUGUGAGACUUGGUCCUCCAUCAAGUGCAAAUGUACAUUAAGGAGGGACCCCUGGCUGGUGGUGACCUACUACUACAUCCUACUUGGAAUGAAGGCUCAACAUCUUGCUUUAUAAGCUGUUUUUCCUAUUAAUAUAUCAGAAACAUUUUCCUUUUAACAAAUUUGUGCAAGAAUUGCUGCAUUGUGGCUUACUGAUGGGCACUACGUAUUGGAUUUAAGAAAAUACGUCAGUUACCGUUUACAGGUGGCAUGAUGUCAUUUUGUUAUUAGGCACCACCAUGGGGACUGCAUGUUGUCAAUGGACCCACUAUGCUCAUGAUGCUCCUUAUCGGGUUCUCCCCUGUGCAGCUCCCAGGCCCUGCUCCUGGGGCAGUCGCGUGGGGCCCCUCACCAUCUGACGGCUGUCACCGCAGGCCAGGAUGUGCAUUCUCAACAGUCCAGGCAUCGAGGGCUGCUCCUGCAGUAUGAUGGAUACUGUAGCUGUUUGCUUUUGAAAAAGAAAGACCUGUGGCGAGAGCAUUUCCUUCUCGAAGUAAA